AGAGAGAGACAUGCGCGCAUAUCAAUAAGCGGAGGAAAAGAAACUAACUAAGGAUUCCCUCAGUAACGGCGAGUGAAGCGGGAAGAGCUCAAAUUUGAAAUCUUCAAGGUUCUACCUUGACGAAUUGUAGUUUAAAGAAGUGUUUUCUGUUGAAGUUUCGGUAAAAGUUCUUUGGAAUAGGACAUCAUAGAGGGUGAGAAUCCCGUAUUUGACCAUUAUUUUCCAGCUGUGUGAUACACUUUCAAAGAGUCGGAUUGUUUGGGAAUGCAGUCCAAAAUGGGUGGUAAAUUUCAUCUAAAGCUAAAUAUUGGCGAGAGACCGAUAGCGAACAAGUACCGUGAGGGAAAGAUGAAAAGAACUUUGAAAAGAGAGUUAAACAGUACGUGAAAUUGUCAAAAGGGAAGCGUUUGACACCAGUGUUGUUUUUCUGAAAAUCAAUUAAAGAACUGUUUAUGCUAAGCUGUUUAGACUUUAUCAGCUAACUGUUUAGUUUUGAGCUUUUCUUUAAUGCACUUUUCAGUUAACAAGUCAACAUCAAUUUCUUUUGCUGUAAAAAAGCUUGAGGAAGGUGGCUUGAGAUUCGUCUUAAGUGUUUGUAGCCUCUUGCCUACGCAGUCGGAGAGAUUGAGGUCCGCAGCGUAGAUCCUUCGGGGCUAAAUGCAUUUGUGCUAAGUUAUAGCAUUUUAUAGACAACUUGUUGACUAUGAUUUGUCUUGUAGCUUACUCGCUUAUGUUAUUUUACCUACGCUUAGGAUGUUGAUAUCGCGCUCUCACUG
rnacentral:rRNA from 1 species